UACGGGGGGGGGCAAGCGUUGUUCGGAAUUACUGGGCGUAAAGGGCCAGUAGGCGGCCAACUAAGUCGGAUGUGAAAUCCCCAGGCUCAACCUGGGAACUGCAUCCGAUACUGGAUGGCUUGAAUUCGGGAGAGGGAUGCAGAAUUCCAGGUGUAGCGGUGAAAUGCGUAGAUAUCUGGAGGAAUACCGGUGGCGAAGGCGGCAUCCUGGACCGACAUUGACGCUGAUGCGCGAAAGCUAGGGGAGCAAACGGG
rnacentral:rRNA from 1 species